rnacentral:rRNA from 1 species
CAGUCGCCGCGGGAAUACGUAGGUGGCAAGCGUUGUCCGGAAUUACUGGGCGUAAAGGGCUCGCAGGCGGUUUCUUAAGUCUGAUGUGAAAGCCCCCGGCUCAGCCGGGGAGGGUCAUUGGAAACUGGGAAACUUGAGUGCAGAAGAGGAGAGUGGAAUUCCACGUGUAGCGGUGAAAUGCGUAGAGAUGUGGAGGAACACCAGUGGCGAAGGCGACUCUCUGGUCUGUAACUGACGCUGAGGAGCGAAAGCGUGGGGAGCGAACAGGAUUAGAGACCCCCGUAGUCCCUGUCUCUUAUAC